rnacentral:rRNA from 1 species
UGCGCAGGCGGCUGAGCAAGUCGAGUGUGAAAGCCCCGGGCUUAACUUGGGAAUUGCGCUCGAAACUACUUGGCUGGAGUGUGGCAGAGGAGGGUGGAAUUCCACGUGUAGCGGUGAAAUGCGUAGAGAUGUGGAGGAACACCAAUGGCGAAGGCAGCCCUCUGGGCCAACACUGACGCUCAUGCACGAAAGCGUGGGGAGCAAACA